CAGAACCUCGCCCCAUGCAGGUGUUCCCGAUCCCCGAGUCGGUGUUCACGGUGGACAAGAGUCGGUCCGGCAAGAGGCGCGUGGUGGUGAUGUUCUAGAUUGUUCCGAUGAUAUUCUGCAGGUGUUCCCGAUCCCCGAGUCGGUGUUCACGGUGGACAAGAGUCGGUCCGGCAAAGGACGCGUGGUGGUGAUGUUCUAGAUUGUUCCGAUAAUAUUCUGCAGGUGUUCCCGAUCCCCGAGUCGGUGUUCACGGUGGAAAAGAGUCGGUCCGGCAAAGGGCGCGUGGUGGUGAUGUUCUAGAUUGUUCCGAUAAUAUCCUGCAGGUGUUCCCGAUCCCCGAGUCGGUGUUCACGGUGGACAAGAGUCGGUCCGGCAGAGGACGCGUGGUGGUCAAGGCUGUGCAGCUCGGCGCCGGCGACGCGCCGCUCAGAUGCGAGAUUUCCGGCGAAGCUCCGUACUUCCGGACGGACGAGCGCUGGGCCAAGAUGGAGGUCGCGGUCGUGCCCUCGGACCCUCCUUCCCUCACGGGCGUCGCUGGAAUGUAUGCCCUCAACUCCCACGCCCUUGUCACCUGCACGGCGCCCCCCGCUCUGCCCAAACCCGAGCUUGAGUUCCGC